AUGUAUUUGGAAGAUAGUCACGUCCUAUUGAAUACUUUGUGCUGGUGCUGCCAUCGAAAAAUCUGGUUACACUCUGGGGAGGGCUGCUACUGCUGCAGGACUGAACUGCUUUGGCCUUGAGAUGAGUGUCUGGCCUGAGCAGGCACACCAUGAAUAGAUACACAACAAUCAGGCAGCUCGGAGAUGGAACCUACGGUUCUGUCCUGCUGGGAAGAAGCAUUGAGUCUGGGGAGCUGAUUGCUAUUAAAAA